rnacentral:pre_miRNA from 1 species
UAUUCAGGAAGGUGUUACUUAAUAUAUUAAUAUUUGUAAGGCACCCUUCUGAGUAGA